ACUCAAAUGAAUUGACGGGGGCCCGCACAAGCGGUGGAGCAUGUGGUUUAAUUCGACGCAACGCGAAGAACCUUACCCAGGCUCGAACGGCAGAUGACAUUCUACGAAAGUAGACUCCCGCAAGGGCAUCUGUCGAGGUGCUGCAUGGCUGUCGUCAGCUCGUGUCGUGAGAUGUUGGGUUAAGUCCCGCAACGAGCGCAACCCUUGUCUUCUGUUGCCAUCGGGUUAUGCCGGGCACUCUGAAGAGACUGCCGGUGACAAACCGGAGGAAGGUGGGGAUGACGUCAAGUCAGCAUGGCCUUUAUGUCUGGGGCCACACACGUGCUACAAUGGCAGGUACAAACCGUCGCGAGACCGCAAGGUGGAGCUAAUCGGAGAAAGCCUGUCUCAGUUCGGAUUGUAGGCUGCAACUCGCCUGCAUGAAGUUGGAAUCGCUAGUAAUCGCGGAUCAGCACGCCGCGGUGAAUACGUUCCCGGGCCUUGUACACACCGCCCGU
rnacentral:rRNA from 1 species